rnacentral:tRNA from 1 species
GGAAUUGUAAUUCAAUUGGUUAGAGCACCGCCCUGUCAAGAUGGAAGUUGUGGGUUUAAGACUCAUCAGUCCCG